rfam:Ciona savignyi cont_31992, whole genome shotgun sequence.
GUCAGGAUGACCGAGUGGUCUAAGGCGCCAGACUCAAGAACCCAGGUUCUUCGCCGACAUGAGGUGUUGAGUAUUCUGGUCUCCGAAUGGAGGCGUGGGUUCGAAUCCCACUUUCUGACA